CUCCUACGGGAGGCAGCAGUAGGAAUAUUGGUCAAUGGCGGAAGGACCUGACCAGCCAUGCCGACGUGCAGGAAGACGGCCUACGGGUUGUAAACUGCGUUUGCAGGGAUAAUCUUGGUAUACGUUAUACCGUAGAAGUUUGAACUGUAACGUUCUCGGACGGAAUAAGGAUCCGGCUAACUCCGUGCCAGCAGCCGCGGAAUC
rnacentral:rRNA from 1 species